rnacentral:rRNA from 1 species
UGGGGAAUAUUGCACAAUGGGCGCAAGCCUGAUGCAGCCAUGCCGCGUGUGUGAAGAAGGCCUUCGGGUUGUAAAGCACUUUCAGCGAGGAGGAAGGUGGUGAACUUAAUACGUUCAUCAAUUGACGUUACUCGCAGAAGAAGCACCGGCUAACUCCGUGCCAGCAGCCGCGGUAAUACGGAGGGUGCAAGCGUUAAUCGGAAUUACUGGGCGUAAAGCGCACGCAGGCGGUUUGUUAAGUCAGAUGUGAAAUCCCCGGGCUCAACCUGGGAACUGCAUUUGAAACUGGCAGGCUAGAGUCUCGUAGAGGGGGGUAGAAUUCCAGGUGUAGCGGUGAAAUGCGUAGAGAUCUGGAGGAAUACCGGUGGCGAAGGCGGCCCCCUGGACGAAGACUGACGCUCAGGUGCGAAAAGCGUGGGGAGCAAAACAGGAUUAGAUACCCUGGUAGUCCACGCUGUAAAACGAUGUCGAUUUGGAGGUUGUGCCCUUGAGGCGUGGCUUCCGGAGCUAACGCGUUAAAUCGACCGCCUGGGGAGUACGGCCGCAAGGUUAAAAACUU